rfam:Triticum aestivum genome assembly, contig: Triticum_aestivum_CS42_TGACv1_scaffold_289601_4AL
CUCCUACUCCCUCCGUCCGAAAAAGCUUGUCUCGAUCUUACUCCUCAAAUAGAUGUAUCCAGCACUAACUUGGUGCUAGAUACAUUCAUUUAAGAGACACGUUUUUUCGAACGGCGGGAGUACUUU